rnacentral:rRNA from 1 species
AGCGACUAAGCGUACACGGUGGAUGCCCUGGCAGUCAGAGGCGAUGAAGGACGUGCAUAAUCUGCGAAAGCGUCGGUAAGGUGAUAUGAACCGUUAUAGCCGGCGAUGUCCGAAUGGGGAAACCCAGUGCAAUUCCUGUUCACACUAUCGUUAACUGAAUACAUAGGUUAACGAGGCGAACCGGGGGAACUGAAACAUCUAAGUACCCCGAGGAAAGAAAUCAACCGAGAUUCCCCCAGUAGCGGCGAGCGAACGGGGAGCAGCCCAGAGUCUGAAUCAGCUUGUGUGUUAGUGGAACGGUCUGGAAGUCCGACGGUACAGGGUGAUAGUCCCGUACACCAAAUGCACAGGCUGUGAACUCGAAGAGUAGGGCGGGACACGUGGUAUCCUGUCUGAAUAUGGGGGACCAUCCUCCAAGGCUAAAUACUCCUGACUGACCGAUAGUGAACCAGUACCGUGAGGGAAAGGCGAAAAGAACCCCGGCGAGGGGAGUGAAAAAGAACCUGAAACCGUGUACGUACAAGCAGUGGGAGCACCUUCGGGUGUGACUGCGUACCUUU